rnacentral:rRNA from 1 species
CCUACGGGUGGCAGCAGUAGGGAAUAUUGCACAAUGGGCGAAAGCCUGAUGCAGCAACGCCGCGUGGGCGAUGAAGGCCUUAGGGUCGUAAAGCUCUGUCCUCAGGGAAGAUUAUGACGGUACCUGAGGAAGAAGCACCGGCUAACUACGUGCCAGCAGCCGCGGUAAUACGGAGGGGGCUAGCGUUAUCCGGAAUUACUGGGCGUAAAGAGUGCGUAGGGGGGUUAUUAAGUCAGAGGUGAAACGCUAAGGCUAAACCGAAGUACGCAUUUGAAACUGUGAAACUGGAGUGUAGGAGAGGUGGGUGGAAUUCUUAGUGUAGCGGUGAAAUGCGUAGAGAUUAGGAGGAAUACUAGUUGCGAAGGCGGCCCUCUGGAAUGUAACUGACGCUGAGGCACGAAAGCGUGGGGAGCAAACAGGAUUAGAUACCCGGGUAGUC